rnacentral:rRNA from 1 species
UACGGAGGGUGCAAGCGUUAUCCGGAUUCACUGGGUUUAAAGGGUGCGUAGGAGGGCAGGUAAGUCAGUGGUGAAAUCUCCGAGCUUAACUCGGAAACUGCCGUUGAUACUAUCUGUCUUGAAUACCGUGGAGGUGAGCGGAAUAUGUCAUGUAGCGGUGAAAUGCUUAGAUAUGACAUAGAACACCAAUUGCGUAGGCAGCUUACUACACGAUCAUUGACGCUGAGGCACGAAAGCGUGGGGAGCAAACAGG